rnacentral:rRNA from 1 species
CUACGGGUGGCUGCAGUGAGGAAUAUUGCACAAUGGGGGGAACCCUGAUGCAGCAACGCCGCGUGGAGGAUGACGCAUUUCGGUGUGUAAACUCCUUUUAUAUGUCAAGAAAAUGACGGUAGCAUAUGAAUAAGCACCGGCUAACUCCGUGCCAGCAGCCGCGGUAAUACGGAGGGUGCAAGCGUUACUCGGAAUCACUGGGCGUAAAGGACGCGUAGGCGGGUUGGAAAGCCAGGUGUGAAAUCCUACAGCUUAACUGUAGAACUGCACUUGAAACUUCUAAUCUAGAGUAUGGGAGGGGGAGAUGGAAUUAGUGGUGUAGGGGUAAAAUCCGCAGAUAUCACUAGGAAUACCUAAAGCGAAGGCGAUCUCCUGGAACAUUACUGACGCUAAGGCGUGAAAGCGUGGGGAGCAAGCAGGAUUAGAUACCCUCGUAGUC